GUGAGUCAUCGAAUCUUUGAACGCAACUUGCACUCUACCUUGGUAGAGUAUGCCUGUUUGAGAAUCUAUAUAUCUAUUCAACGUUUUGUUGAGAUGUGAGCUUGUUUGUUUCAAACUUGCUUUAAACGUAUAGCUUCGGGUGCUAAAAAUGUUGAUUUUUGAACCAGAGAGAUGAAGGGCUUGCCCACUUCCUUUGGCGACGAAUGAGUUUCUAGUACUUUGGACCCAACCAUUAAGUCUUCUUCACAGAAGGCUGAACUCUAGGUCUCAAAUCAGGUAGGAGGACCCGCUGAACUUAAG
rnacentral:misc_RNA from 1 species